GGUUAAGCGACUAAGCGUACACGGUGGAUGCCCUGGCAGUCAGAGGCGAUGAAGGACGUGCUAAUCUGCGAUAAGCGUCGGUAAGGUGAUAUGAACCGUUAUAACCGGCGAUUUCCGAAUGGGGAAACCCAGUGUGUUUCGACACACUAUCAUUAACUGAAUCCAUAGGUUAAUGAGGCGAACCGGGGGAACUGAAACAUCUAAGUACCCCGAGGAAAAGAAAUCAACCGAGAUUCCCCCAGUAGCGGCGAGCGAACGGGGAGCAGCCCAGAGCCUGAAUCAGUGUGUGUGUUAGUGGAAGCGUCUGGAAAGGCGCGCGAUACAGGGUGACAGCCCCGUACACAAAAAUGCACAUGCUGUGAGCUCGAUGAGUAGGGCGGGACACGUGGUAUCCUGUCUGAAUAUGGGGGGACCAUCCUCCAAGGCUAAAUACUCCUGACUGACCGAUAGUGAACCAGUACCGUGAGGGAAAGGCGAAAAGAACCCCGGCGAGGGGAGUGAAAAAGAACCUGAAACCGUGUACGUACAAGCAGUGGGAGCACGCUUAGGCGUGUGACUGCGUACCUUUUGUAUAAUGGGUCAGCGACUUAUAUUCUGUAGCAAGGUUAACCGAAUAGGGGAGCCGAAGGGAAACCGAGUCUUAACUGGGCGUUAAGUUGCAGGGUAUAGACCCGAAACCCGGUGAUCUAGCCAUGGGCAGGUUGAAGGUUGGGUAACACUAACUGGAGGACCGAACCGACUAAUGUUGAAAAAUUAGCGGAUGACUUGUGGCUGGGGGUGAAAGGCCAAUCAAACCGGGAGAUAGCUGGUUCUCCCCGAAAGCUAUUUAGGUAGCGCCUCGUGAAUUCAUCUCCGGGGGUAGAGCACUGUUUCGGCAAGGGGGUCAUCCCGACUUACCAACCCGAUGCAAACUGCGAAUACCGGAGAAUGUUAUCACGGGAGACACACGGCGGGUGCUAACGUCCGUCGUGAAGAGGGAAACAACCCAGACCGCCAGCUAAGGUCCCAAAGUCAUGGUUAAGUGGGAAACGAUGUGGGAAGGCCCAGACAGCCAGGAUGUUGGCUUAGAAGCAGCCAUCAUUUAAAGAAAGCGUAAUAGCUCACUGGUCGAGUCGGCCUGCGCGGAAGAUGUAACGGGGCUAAACCAUGCACCGAAGCUGCGGCAGCGACACUGUGUGUUGUUGGGUAGGGGAGCGUUCUGUAAGCCUGUGAAGGUGUACUGUGAGGUAUGCUGGAGGUAUCAGAAGUGCGAAUGCUGACAUAAGUAACGAUAAAGCGGGUGAAAAGCCCGCUCGCCGGAAGACCAAGGGUUCCUGUCCAACGUUAAUCGGGGCAGGGUGAGUCGACCCCUAAGGCGAGGCCGAAAGGCGUAGUCGAUGGGAAACAGGUUAAUAUUCCUGUACUUGGUGUUACUGCGAAGGGGGGACGGAGAAGGCUAUGUUGGCCGGGCGACGGUUGUCCCGGUUUAAGCGUGUAGGCUGGUUUUCCAGGCAAAUCCGGAAAAUCAAGGCUGAGGCGUGAUGACGAGGCACUACGGUGCUGAAGCAACAAAUGCCCUGCUUCCAGGAAAAGCCUCUAAGCAUCAGGUAACAUCAAAUCGUACCCCAAACCGACACAGGUGGUCAGGUAGAGAAUACCAAGGCGCUUGAGAGAACUCGGGUGAAGGAACUAGGCAAAAUGGUGCCGUAACUUCGGGAGAAGGCACGCUGAUAUGUAGGUGAAGCGACUUGCUCGUGGAGCUGAAAUCAGUCGAAGAUACCAGCUGGCUGCAACUGUUUAUUAAAAACACAGCACUGUGCAAACACGAAAGUGGACGUAUACGGUGUGACGCCUGCCCGGUGCCGGAAGGUUAAUUGAUGGGGUUAGCGCAAGCGAAGCUCUUGAUCGAAGCCCCGGUAAACGGCGGCCGUAACUAUAACGGUCCUAAGGUAGCGAAAUUCCUUGUCGGGUAAGUUCCGACCUGCACGAAUGGCGUAAUGAUGGCCAGGCUGUCUCCACCCGAGACUCAGUGAAAUUGAACUCGCUGUGAAGAUGCAGUGUACCCGCGGCAAGACGGAAAGACCCCGUGAACCUUUACUAUAGCUUGACACUGAACAUUGAGCCUUGAUGUGUAGGAUAGGUGGGAGGCUUUGAAGUGUGGACGCCAGUCUGCAUGGAGCCGACCUUGAAAUACCACCCUUUAAUGUUUGAUGUUCUAACGUUGACCCGUAAUCCGGGUUGCGGACAGUGUCUGGUGGGUAGUUUGACUGGGGCGGUCUCCUCCUAAAGAGUAACGGAGGAGCACGAAGGUUGGCUAAUCCUGGUCGGACAUCAGGAGGUUAGUGCAAUGGCAUAAGCCAGCUUGACUGCGAGCGUGACGGCGCGAGCAGGUGCGAAAGCAGGUCAUAGUGAUCCGGUGGUUCUGAAUGGAAGGGCCAUCGCUCAACGGAUAAAAGGUACUCCGGGGAUAACAGGCUGAUACCGCCCAAGAGUUCAUAUCGACGGCGGUGUUUGGCACCUCGAUGUCGGCUCAUCACAUCCUGGGGCUGAAGUAGGUCCCAAGGGUAUGGCUGUUCGCCAUUUAAAGUGGUACGCGAGCUGGGUUUAGAACGUCGUGAGACAGUUCGGUCCCUAUCUGCCGUGGGCGCUGGAGAACUGAGGGGGGCUGCUCCUAGUACGAGAGGACCGGAGUGGACGCAUCACUGGUGUUCGGGUUGUCAUGCCAAUGGCACUGCCCGGUAGCUAAAUGCGGAAGAGAUAAGUGCUGAAAGCAUCUAAGCACGAAACUUGCCCCGAGAUGAGUUCUCCCUGACUCCUUGAGAGUCCUGAAGGAACGUUGAAGACGACGACGUUGAUAGGCCGGGUGUGUAAGCGCAGCGAUGCGUUGAGCUAACCGGUACUAAUGAACCGUGAGGCUUAACCUU
rnacentral:rRNA from 1 species